rnacentral:rRNA from 1 species
GAUGAACGCUGGCGGCGUGCCUAAUACAUGCAAGUCGAGCGAACGGACGAGAAGCUUGCUUCUCUGAUGUUAGCGGCGGACGGGUGAGUAACACGUGGAUAACCUACCUAUAAGACUGGGAUAACUUCGGGAAACCGGAGCUAAUACUGGAUAAUAUUUUGAACCGCAUGGUUCAAAAGUGAAAGACGGUCUUGCUGUCACUUAUAGAUGGAUCCGCGUUGCAUUAGCUAGUUGGUAAGGUAACGGCUUACCAAGGCAACGAUGCAUAGCCGACCUGAGAGGGUGAUCAGCCACACUGGAACUGAGACACGGUCCAGACUCCUACGGGAGGCAGCAGUAGGGAAUCUUCCGCAAUGGGCGAAAGCCUGACGGAGCAACGCCGCGUGAGUGAUGAAGGUCUUCGGAUCGUAAAACUCUGUUAUUAGGGAAGAACAUAUGUGUAAGUAACUGUGCACAUCUUGACGGUACCUAAUCAGAAAGCCACGGCUAACUACGUG